rnacentral:snoRNA from 1 species
CUUCGGUGAUGAGCCGAUGACGAGUCAGAUGCAGGUGGCUCUGCCUGAGGUACCUCUGUGGGGUCACGUUCUGUGACGCUGCAUGAGGGCCUUCAGCAGUCACCAGUGGAUGAUCUGGAGGCAUUUGUCUGAGAAGG